UGCAGAUAAGUGAUACACAUGGGCUGAGGAAAAACCUGAAGAGAUACCUUGACGUAGAACAAUUGACAAUAGCAUUCACAUCCAAGAUGCUGAAUUUGACGUACCUUUUAGAAACUUGAAUUUCUUAAGAAGAUCAGCACCUACAAAAGAGUCACAGAGGUACAAGAGAAGUCCACUGAAAAACACCCCUUCACAAUUGACGUUGUUGGAGUGGGGUCUGGAACUGAUGUAGCAUAUGGAUACCUGAAAGUAGUAAGCAGAAAAAACAUGUCAAAAGCAAAGAAAGGGGCUGUACUUUUGCCUAGGAGCACUAUAGUCAAUGCCUUCCUCUUCAGUUCGGAUGCAAGGUGAAAGCCAAGCUUUCUCAGUGUAAGUGGGUUGGUUAUUCAAGCUUUGUACUUAUUUAGGAGUAAAAUUAGUAUAUCAUUUUUACGACAGAAAUAUUAAGAAGCUCGUGUGUGUGUGUGUGUGUGUGUGUGUGUGUGUGUGUGUGUGUGUGUGUGUGUGAGAGAAUUUUUUAAUGCUUUACAUUCUGGGGCUAGAGAGUUAGCUCGGUGGUUAAGAGCACUGGCUGCUCUUUCAGAGGCCCCUGGGUUUAUCCCUGGCAUCCACAAUGGUACCUCACAAUCAUCUGUGAUCCUCCACCCCCCUCUGGCCUCCGUGGGCACCAGGCAUGUACAUGAUGCACAUACAGAUAAAAUGCCCAUAUGCCCCAACACAUAAAUAGUAAAACAAAACAAUACCACAUUCCAUAAAAAGGCACACAUAAGAAAGACUAGAUAUUUCACUUUGAAAGCUUAAGACAACAUGAAUUAAUUUUUAGAUUCUUAUGGCUUCCAUGCCUAGACAAUAACCACAAACACUGCAGGAAAGCAGCAGGAUAGUAGAACAGUGGAGUAGCUAAACUUGGCUUGAAUUCAAACACUGGUUCCUUCAGUUAGUUGUCAUGUGGCAUAUAGUUCCUCAUCUACAUAGGUAAGAAAACCUGUUGGAUAGAAUUAUUUUUGAAUUAUUAAUAUAGUCUCUUCAGUAUUCAGCAAGUAUUAGCUGCUGUUAGUAUUGAGAUUAUUGGCAUAUGGUUGGUUCUUAUGUUUUAUGGCAGAAUCUCACUCUGUAACCCCAGCUAGCUCCUGGAAUGCUGGGUUUACAGACAUGUGCCUCCAUACUCAGCCAUCAUCUGAUUUUAAAAUUUGUAGUUAUAAAAUUAAUGGUGUAACACACAGCAUGGAUUAUUAACAUUAAAUUAGAUUUAGUUUAUUGAAUG